AGGGAAGAACAAGUACCGUUCGAAUAGGGCGGUACCUUGACGGUACCUAACCAAAAAGCCACGGCUAACUACGUGCCAGCAGCCGCGGUAAUACGUAGGUGGCYAGCGUUGUCCGGAAAUUAUUGGGCGUAAAGGGCUCGCAGGCGGUUUCUUAAGUCUGAUGUGAAAGCCCCCGGCUCAACCGGGGAGGGUCAUUGGAAAUUGGGGAACUUGAGUGCAGAAGAGGAGAGUGGAAUUCCACGUGUAGCGGUGAAAUGCGUAGAGAUGUGGAGGAACACCAGUGGCGAAGGCGACUCUCUGGUCUGUAACUGACGCUGAGGAGCGAAAGCGUGGGGAGCGAACAGGAUUAGAUACCCUGGUAGUCCACGCCGUAAACGAUGAGUGCUAAGUGUUAGGGGGUUUCCGCCCCUUAGUGCUGCAGCUAACGCAUUAAGCACUCCGCGUGGGGAGUACGGUCGCAAGACUGAAACUCAAAGGAAUUGACGGGGGCCCGCACAAGCGGUGGAGCAUGUGGUUUAAUUCGAAGCAACGCGAGGAACCUUACCAGGUCUUGACAUCCUCUGACAAUCCUAGAGAUAGGACGUCCCCUUCGGGGGCAGAGUGACAGGUGGUGCAUGGUUGUCGUCAGCUCGUGUCGUGAGAUGUUGGGUUAAGUCCCGCAUCGAGCGCAACCCUUGAUUUUAGUCGUCAGCAUUCAGUUGGGCACUCUAAGGUGACUGCCGGUGACAAACCGGAGGAAGGUGG
rnacentral:rRNA from 1 species